GAUAUAAGGACUGCGAAAUGUAGACUACUGCGAUAUAGUAGAUUUUAGAAGCUUUUUUUUCUCUGUGUUA
rnacentral:tRNA from 1 species